CCGAUGUUAUCCAGGAUCAGGUCGAACCUUUGUGAGGCGGAGGACGGGUGGCGGGGGUAAAGAGAGGCAUCGGUCAUCCCGCCAACGAAUGCGAGCUCCAAAUCCAACGCUUAUACCAACAUAGGACGUUUGCAUUCGUGAUUGACUCCGGCGUGUUCCGGCUUGCGCGCAAGUUGUGUCACCGCUGUAAGAACGGAGCGAGGACAAGGGGCUUGUGACUCAAUACAAUUCUUUUGGGGAAUUAAGAAGAAGAGAAAAAAAAAAGCUACUAAGAUGCAUCGGCCAACAUCCCCCGGACUCACGCCUGUGGUGUCCUUGAGCGAGACAGUGAUGCCCCGCCCGAACUGCUGCCCCCUGCUCCGUCCGGUGUGUUCCGCUAACAAGUGUGUGUGUGUUCACUGUGAUGGGUAAAAUGCAGAGAACACAUUUCGUGCGCAUGCAUGCAUGCAUGCAUGGUCAUGACAAUAAAGGUCAUUUCUUCUUCUCUCUCGACUAGAAUUUCUUUGGAUCGUGUCGCAUCUUUUUUAGAUCUCGAUUUUGCCAGGACAUAU